rnacentral:rRNA from 1 species
GAGUUUGAUCCUGGCUCAGGAUGAACGCUAGCUACAGGCUUAACACAUGCAAGUCGAGGGGCAUCAGGAAGAAAGCUUGCUUUCUUUGCUGGCGACCGGCGCACGGGUGAGUAACACGUAUCCAACCUGCCCUUUACUCGGGGAUAGCCUUUCGAAAGAAAGAUUAAUACCCGAUGGCAUAAUGAUUCCGCAUGGUUUCAUUAUUAAAGGAUUCCGGUAAAGGAUGGGGAUGCGUUCCAUUAGGUUGUUGGUGAGGUAACGGCUCACCAAGCCUUCGAUGGAUAGGGGUUCUGAGAGGAAGGUCCCCCACAUUGGAACUGAGACACGGUCCAAACUCCUACGGGAGGCAGCAGUGAGGAAUAUUGGUCAAUGGGCGCUAGCCUGAACCAGCCAAGUAGCGUGAAGGAUGAAGGCUCUAUGGGUCGUAAACUUCUUUUAUAUAAGAAUAAAGUGCAGUAUGUAUACUGUUUUGUAUGUAUUAUAUGAAUAAGGAUCGGCUAACUCCGUGCCAGCAGCCGCGGUAAUACGGAGGAUCCGAGCGUUAUCCGGAUUUAUUGGGUUUAAAGGGAGCGUAGGUGGACUGGUAAGUCAGUUGUGAAAGUUUGCGGCUCAACCGUAAAAUUGCAGUUGAUACUGUCAGUCUUGAGUACAGUAGAGGUGGGCGGAAUUCGUGGUGUAGCGGUGAAAUGCUUAGAUAUCACGAAGAACUCCGAUUGCGAAGGCAGCUCACUGGACUGCAACUGACACUGAUGCUCGAAAGUGUGGGUAUCAAACAGGAUUAGAUACCCUGGUAGUCCACACAGUAAACGAUGAAUACUCGCUGUUUGCGAUAUACAGUAAGCGGCCAAGCGAAAGCAUUAAGUAUUCCACCUGGGGAGUACGCCGGCAACGGUGAAACUCAAAGGAAUUGACGGGGGCCCGCACAAGCGGAGGAACAUGUGGUUUAAUUCGAUGAUACGCGAGGAACCUUACCCGGGCUUAAAUUGCAGUGGAAUGAUGUGGAAACAUGUCAGUGAGCAAUCACCGCUGUGAAGGUGCUGCAUGGUUGUCGUCAGCUCGUGCCGUGAGGUGUCGGCUUAAGUGCCAUAACGAGCGCAACCCUUAUCUUCAGUUACUAACAGGUUAUGCUGAGGACUCUGGAGAGACUGCCGUCGUAAGAUGUGAGGAAGGUGGGGAUGACGUCAAAUCAGCACGGCCCUUACGUCCGGGGCUACACACGUGUUACAAUGGGGGGUACAGAAGGCAGCUAGCGGGUGACCGUAUGCUAAUCCCGAAAGCCUCUCUCAGUUCGGAUCGAAGUCUGCAACCCGACUUCGUGAAGCUGGAUUCGCUAGUAAUCGCGCAUCAGCCACGGCGCGGUGAAUACGUUCCCGGGCCUUGUACACACCGCCCGUCAAGCCAUGGGAGCCGGGGGUACCUGAAGUACGUAACCGCAAGGAUCGUCCUAGGGUAAAACUGGUGACUGGGGCUAAGUCGUAACAAGGUAGCCGUACCGGAAGGUGCGGCUGGAACACC